GAUGAAGAACGCAGCGAAAUGCGAUACGUAAUGUGAAUUGCAGAAUUCAGUGAAUCAUCGAGUCUUUGAACGCACAUUGCGCCCCCUGGUAUUCCGGGGGGCAUGCCUGUCCGAGCGUCAUUGCUGCCCUCAAGCCCGGCUUGUGUGUUUGGUCUCGUCCCCCUUCCCGGGGGGACGGGCCCGAAAGGCAGCGGCGGCACCGCGUCCGGUCCUCGAGCGUAUGGGGCUUUGUCACCCGCUCUGUAGGCCCGGCCGGCGCUUGCCGAUCAACCAAAACUUUUUUCCAGGUUGACCUCGGAUCAGGUAGGGAUACCCGCUGAACUUAAGCAUAUCAAUAAGCGGAGGA
rnacentral:misc_RNA from 1 species